AACGUGAAGAACCUUACCAGGGUUUGACAUCCUCUGGCAUCCACGAGAGAUAGUGGUCCCUUCGGGGCGGGAGGACAGGUGCUGCAUGGCUGUUGUCAGCUCGUGCCGUGAGGUGUUGGGUUAAGUCCCGCAACGAGCGCAACCCCUGUGGUCGGUUGUAUGUAUCCGAGCAGACUGCCACGAGCAACGUGGAGGAAGGUGGGGAUGAUGUCAAGUCAGCACGGCCCUGACAUCCUGGGCGACACACACGCUACAAUGGCCGCGACAGAGGGACGCCAACCCGCGAGGGGGAGCCAAUCCUAGCGAAGGCGGCCUCAGUUCGGAUGGCAGGCUGCAACCCGCAUGCCUGAACGCCCCAGAUGGACCUACAAUGCGCGCAUGAUACGAAGGAGAUAAGUCCCGGGGUUUUUCAUCGCUAAG
rnacentral:rRNA from 1 species